GUUCCAGUAGCUCAGUUGGAUAGAGCAGGGGACUUCUAAGCCCAAGGUCGAUGGUUCGAUUCCAUCCUGGAACA
rnacentral:tRNA from 1 species